rnacentral:tRNA from 1 species
GCCCUGAUAGCUUAAUCAAAGCAUCGACCUUGUAAGCCGAAGAUUAUAGGUGAGUAACCCUAUUUAGGGCU